ACCAAUCAGGGCGCUAGUUUUCACUGGAACUGGGAGAUUAUCGGAUGCAAAUGGACGACUGACUUCCUGUUCAGGAGUUUCGAAAGCUCACAUGUAUCCUUCGGCUGGGUAUGCGGCAUCUCGCGGAAAUUCGGGGGCGUACUAUUUAUGGCGCGGAAUUUAAUUACUCGCCCGACGCGACGGGCGAGGAAUUCGCUCCGCGCAUUGACACAGGGACUAUAGCAUCCGUGAAGAACAGUUGCCCUUAUAGAGCCGCCUCAGCAAGGCAGGAAGUCUUGCACAAGCCCUGGCAGACGACGAAAGGUGAAUUGCAGAGCACUUGUACAUUCAAACCACCGAGAUCUCUGCUGCAUUGUAGAAGGAGCUUGGAUUCGAAGUCAGCAUCAGGGCGCCGGAGUCAACGCAAACACAAUAUCUUCC